rnacentral:rRNA from 1 species
AGCGAACGCUGGCGGCAGGCCUAACACAUGCAAGUCGAACGAACCUUUCGGGGUUAGUGGCGGACGGGUGAGUAACACGUGGGAACGUGCCUUUAGGUUCGGAAUAACUCAGGGAAACUUGUGCUAAUACCGAAUGUGCCCUUCGGGGGAAAGAUUUAUCGCCUUUAGAGCGGCCCGCGUCUGAUUAGCUAGUUGGUUGAGGUAAUGGCUCACCAAGGCGACGAUCAGUAGCUGGUCUGAGAGGAUGAUCAGCCACAUUGGGACUGAGACACGGCCCAAAAUCAGCGGGGAGGAAGAAGGAGGAAAGCACGCGAAAGGCAGGAAAGCAAGAAGGAGAAAUGACGAAGGAAUGAUGAAGGUCUUGGAAGGAAAACAUUCUGUCACGGACGACGAAAAUGACGGUACCAAAAGAAGAAGCACCGGCUAACUUCGUACCGGCAGCAGCGGAAAAGGAGGAGACAACAAGUCUGAAC